UGCAAUCAGGUUUCUGCAUUCGUCGCUCACAGAAAGAAACCGCGGCGCGAUCGACGUCCUGGAUCCAUAAGGCGCGGUGAGCCUUCAUCAUGGCUCCGUUGAAGGUUGCGAACCUUCGUGUGCGGAGGAGCUCGACGUGCGGCCCUGACAACGCCGCAUCGGAGGUCGACGGUGCUCGCGUGGUGGGAACAACAGCCUGAAGCCGGCGACAAACAGAGGGUAUGGCUUCGACGGCAAUGGAUCCUACAUCGACAGAAGCGGAUGCGACCGGCCUACACUCGACACAAGAUCUCUCACGGUGAGUGGAUGGAUCGGAUGUGCCGCGUGGACGAGGAGAGGGUGUGUCCGUACUUGCUAAUUCUAGGCUAGACGGCAGGCGAAUCUGGUGUCAGGACGACCGCGGAUGAGCCACCAAUGCAGCGAGGGAUGGUCUCUUCCUAUGGAAGUGCUUGGGGUUGCCUCCGUCCUCAUGUGUUGCACAGAUUCAUGCACGACCUUCGACCGCAAUGGCGGCAGCCGGGAACUGCAAGCCCCUCCACCCCCAAUGCGUUGCGAGCACGCAGGCCAUAGCCAUGUUUUCAGAUCGGACGACUAAUCGCGAUUAGUCGUUCUUAUCGUAAUUGCGUGCUCGAUAAGUUUCGUUGAUUCGAUCAGGUCGAUCAGAAACCUUAUCAUCCGAUUAGAUGCUAUUAGUCGUGAUUAGUCGUCCGAUAAGUGUAGCAGGAUGAUAAGUUGGGCCAGUACAGGAAUAUUGUAUUUAGUCCUGUAGAAAGAAUUCGGUCCACUUAAGGCUGCCCAUUAAAAUAAGAAAAGAACAAGAGUGAGUGAGUGAGUGAGUGAAGUGGCUGAGUGAGUGAGUGUCCAGCAGGCAGGAGCUGCAGCCGCCGGCAUCCUGCUCUGCUCCUGCUCUCCCUCGUAGCCGGCGUCCAGCUCUGCUCCUGCUCUCCCUCACACCCGGCGUCCAGGACACGUCCGCACGACUCCAGCUCCGCCCGCGACUCCCAUCUCCGCCCGCGCGAGCUGCAGCCGCCGGCGUCCGCACUUCCGUCCGCGUGAGCUGCAGUUGCCGGCGUCCGCACAUCCGCCUGCGCCUUCACGUCCGUCCGCGAGAGCUGCAGCCGCCGACGUCCGCACGUCUGCCUGCGCCUCCACCUCCGCCCGCGAGAGCUGCAGCCGCCGGCAUCCGCACAUCCGCCUACGCCUUCACCUCCGCCCGUGAGAGCUGCAGGCACCAGUGGAUCCGCCCGCCUGCAUCAAGAUGAGCCACUCCUCAGUCCGCCUUUGCUAUUGUGACUUAUGAACUGCCUGCUACCUCAAGCUGCAAUCACGGGUCACAGCUCAAGGGGUCCAAGCAGAUCAAGCCGCUUUGCUACCGGAUUUGGCAUUGUGUGCAGUGCUAUGGAACCGGCCAUAUCGUAUGAAAGCAUCCAUGAAGUUGCCAUAAAUACAUUGCUGAUUUGAUGUUGCUCGAGGAGCUCAGGUGGAGGCAUCCAUGCCCCUCUGCGAUCUAGCCUCCAAGCUGCUCUAUCUUGGCUUCCAAGGGAAGUAUCAUUUUGCAAGAGAUCCACGGUCCGCAAGCAUGUCCCCGUGUUGAGCCUCGGCGCAUAGUGAUCCUCAGAACUGAAAAAUCAAGUAUGGUCCAACCAUGGCCACAUAAACAGGUAUGAAUCUUAUUAACUGAAUUUGGCAUGAUGCAACCUAUAAUUUUGAAGUGCGGCGUUCAAAUCAGAAACAUGGAAUCUAGAAUAGACAAGCAUUUUGCAGCCACUACAAAUAUGAAAUCUCAAUUUUGGCUUGACAUGGGCUUGAGAUAUAUAGUAAUUUUUUUCUAUGAGUCCUUAUUUACACCUAAUGCUGGCCGUUUCCUAUCCUCUAUUUGUCCAUACUUACACCUGCAUUUUCUUUAUGAAUCCUUAUUUACACAUAAUCAUUGAGAUAUGCAGGAUGUGUGUGAUGCUUAUUAAUUUUAUUAUAUUCAACUGUACAGCUACUGAUCUAAUUUAGUAAGAGGUGUUGCACAUCUGUGUAUGUGGUCUAUCUGUUGUGGACUGGCCAAAUAGAAACUAUACAUAUACAUUUUGAAAGAAAAUAAGGGAAAAAAUAUAGGGGGCCAAAAGGGCAAGGGUGCCAAGACAGGUCCCACCGAAAAAUGAUGAUUGCCUAAAAAAUAAAAUUGUCGCCUUGCAUUUUUUUGUCACAGAUUGAAUUUAUAUUUUUAAUUUUUUUAGUUUGAAACAAACCUAUCUGAUGCUAGAACACCUUUAGAAUUUAGUGUCAACUAGAAAACAACAGAGGAUACCAAAGCUAUCUUUUAGGUGCCCCACCUCCUAUGAAAACACAUGCCCUGCUCUCCUCGGUGACCACCGUCUUCUGCUGCACCAGCCCACUCUCUUCUUAGGCCGAGAACAACAAGAAGGGUGUGUCCAGUUGAGGCCAUCAACGUUGACCUGCUGCAGUGUUGUCUGCUCCGGUCCAUUGACACCAGCCCUUUUCUAGUGUCACAAGAAGGGUAGAUAUAUGGACUGCUAGGGUGUUUAUGCAUGUUCUACUGAUGGACAGUCUUCCAUUCCAAGGAAAUUCUGUCGAAGCUAUCUUUGAUGCUAUAAUGACUGCACAUAAGUGGUGAAGGUGGAUCCUUGAGGUAUGAAAAAUAAGGAAAAAUAUUAUACAUAGAAUUUUUCAGCCCAAGAUAUUAACUGAUAUCAACAGCAUGAAAGAAACUUCAAUUCCUUUUAAGUUGAGCUAUACAUUCUGAGCAUCAACAUAACCCUUUUUUUUCUAACAUUGUUUGGGUGGUCAGCAGAUUCUACUAGAAUAACAUUUUUGAAUGUUGGUAUUAUAAAUCAUGUACUACAUAUUAGCAUAUUUUUUAGUGCUACUUAUGUAUAAAAGUAUAGAAGUAAAAUAUUUUCUCAUUCAGUAUCUAUCUACUUUGGUUGUGCAUAUGCUCUUCCUAUCCAUGUACUGUGUCCUUGGCUUCUAUAGUUGCAGAUUUCAAAAGGUGUAGAACACUUCAAUAUAGUACAGUUCAGUGAUUUCAGUGAGCAUGACAGGAUGGGAUAUCUACUCAAUACUUCACUAGUUAGAAUCAUCCAUAGAAUCUAUUGACACACUUGUUUUUGUUAGUGUUUUAUCGGCUGAAGUUGAUGAAGGAAAGGGAGCCACCAUCGAUGCGGUCUGGGCUCUGUGAAUUAUUCAAUCUGGCUAAAAAGGCGUUAAAAUUGUUGAUCGUCUGGUGUCCAGUGAGAAGUUCCUACCUUGGAUGAGGGGUAGUACGUUGGGUCUGCUCGUAACCGAUAGAGACUAGCAAUAGUUUUUACAGAAGUCAUAGCUCCUCAACCAAAUACACCCAAAAGUAGGGCCGGUGGUGAUGUGAAAUUUGAACAAGUUAAAAGUUGCUUUUGGUUAUAUAAUAUAUAAGACAUCAAUCUUAAUAAAUCUGUUUUUUGUUUAUUUUUAUAUAAAGUUUCACUCCUUAUUCUACAGUACAUGUCUACAUGGAAUAGAUCUAAAGUAACAUAUAUUUAUACGAUGAGUAUAACAUACUUUGUUUUAAAGUUUUGUGAGAGAUUUUUAAAACAUGCAGUAUUAUCCAUGUGAUAGGCACUAAUAUUUACAUAUACACUUGAAUUUUAUAUAAAAUAUUAUCUUAGCCGCAUCGUAGAAAGGUCUAUACAAUAGUGUUUAUGAGCAUACAAUGUCACACUCUUGUGACUAUGUUAAUUUCAUGAGUUUUGCUUUUUUUAUUAAAUGCCCUAUUUGGCGCGUCUAGCCAUAGCAGUGAUGUCACCAAAAAUGUGGUGUUCGAUUUCAUCGCCUGACUUUUGGUAGACGUGAAAAAUGACUUACGUGCAAUUUUUGGCGGCGUUUAAUUUCAUCGCCUGUAUGUUUGCGAGUUCAGGCAAAGAAAUUGACUUACAUGUGUCGGUGUCUGGACUCACGGUCCAGACACUAACAAGUGAAUAUGUGUCUGUGUGCUCUCAAUCUAGAUGGUGAUGCAGGAAGAACACAACGGAUUUACACUGGUUCAGGUCGUGAAUGCCCUACGUCCAGUGUGGAGGAGAGAUUUGUAUUAUCCUAUCCCCGGAGUACUCGUAGUAGAGAUUACAAGCAAGUUGCGCGAGAGAGAGCGUGUCCCAGGUCUCGGCUCUAGAUGUGGUGUGUGAGACUUGCUCGUGAUUGCCUGUGAUCACACGCGGCGAUCUGCGAUCCUCUGCCUCCGAAUGAGACCUUUCCCUUUUGUAGUUCUAAGGGGAGGCAGGGAUACAUGUGUUUGUGUUAUGAUAUUAUGGUGUUGGUCUGAGGCGUGGGUUGAGGUAUGGCAUUGUACGAGGUGGCAAGGCGCUCUAUUCCUGAUGUUGUUAGGCCCAGCUGUCCUCCUUUCCUGAUUGGGCCCCGGAAGGGGUGCUGGGCGAUUACCUUGGCCUCAUUAACUUAUUAUUAUUUUGUUUUUGAAAAGGAGGUCAGUGUUCUUA